AAUAAGUUAAAUAUUACAAGCCAUAGCUUAAAAUUUAAAGUUUUUGGCGGUGUCUUAUAAAACCAGGGGAACCUGUUCCAUAAUUCGAUAACCCACGAACACCUAACCUUUUUUAGAUAAACAGCUUGUGUACUGCCGUUGUAAGCAAACUUUUAAAAAUAAGUUUGCCACUAUGAUAAUUAUAUAAAUAAUACACUCAUUUACAUCAGGUCAAAGUGCAGCCAAUAUAAAGGAGGUAAUGGGUUACAACCACAAUAAUGACAUGAAGUAUAGUAUAAAAACCUAUAUAAAAGUGGACUUGAAAGUAAUUAAAUAGAGUUAAUUAUAAUAAAUACUUACUUAAGACAUGUACACAUCGCCCG
rnacentral:rRNA from 1 species